rnacentral:rRNA from 1 species
ACCCUCAACUCGAAUGCAAGUCGUGCGUUACCCCGCGGCCGAGGAGACUGCUCGACCCUCAAGCGAGCAUCCUUUCGAGGAGCGCUUGCCACGACCGCGACCC